rnacentral:lncRNA from 1 species
UAGUCCGCUAUUCUGCAGUGAUUUUCUUCCAAUCCAGUAUCAUUUGUACGUUGCAGCAUCAUCGAACACUAUGGCCGAUGAAUCAGAAGAUAACGUAGAUGCUACGAGAGAGCUCAUUUCACAAUGGACAACAGAAGUGUUACGUGACUUUCUACAAGGAGGGGACUCAAGCUUGGAAAUCGAGUAGCCAUUAUUUUAUGGGUGUUCUCUGCCUUGACUCUGGGGGUACUGUUCAGCCAUCCGAGGUAGAGAUAAACUGGACGAUGGAUGGAGAGGGGGCGGGGGGGGGGGGGGGGGAGGGAGAAAGGCAUGCAGACUGCAGAGCUGGUCGUCUACUAUGUAUAGAGACAUUUGUGUGUACCUAGUAGAUAAGGACCCUCCAUCACUAGAGGGAAGAAUGAGAGACUACAAAGAGGGAAAGGCAUUUAGUUAUUUUGCCAGUUUCUGGUUAGGGAGAUAUUUGUUUCAUCUCGUGGGAGAAAGCUGUCUGUAAUUCAAAAUCAUUUGAUACUUGAAUAAAUUUAGUUCAUUUUCUAGACUGUUUCAUGUCAAACCGUUGAUUCUACUUUCUUGUGAGUAUAGUCAGAGAGAUAGAGAAGUAACACGAGUAAA